rnacentral:rRNA from 1 species
GACGAACGCUGGCGGCGUGCUUAACACAUGCAAGUCGAACGGAAAGGCCCUGCUUGCAGGGUACUCGAGUGUCGAACGGGUGAGUAACACGUGGGUGAUCUGCCCUGCACUUCGGGAUAAGCCUUGGAAACUGGGUCUAAUACCGGAUAUGAGCCAUUUUUAUUGUGAUGGUUGGAAAGUUUUUUCGGUGUAGGAUGAGCUCGCGGCCUAUCAGCUUGUUGGUGGGGUAAUGGCCUACCAAGGCGGCGACGGGUAGCCGGCCUGAGAGGGUGGACGGCCACAUUGGGACUGAGAUACGGCCCAGACUCCUACGGGAGGCAGCCGUGGGGAAUAUUGCACAAUGGGCGCAAGCCUGAUGCAGCGACGCCGCGUGGGGGAUGACGGCCUUCGGGUUGUAAACUCCUUUCGCUAGGGACGAAGCUUUUUGUGACGGUACCUAGAUAAGAAGCACCGGCUAACUACGUG